AGCAAUUCCAAGCCAUCCGCCCAGGAAGCGCCGCAACCGGGACUCGGGAGGGGCGGAGGGGGCGAGGCAGAGGCCACGGCCCCAGGGGAUCCUUGGCCCCACUGUGCACCACACACUCCUUUCCCAGCCCAGGGGCACGCGAACAAAAUGAGGCUCAAGCUGACCAGGCCGAGCCGGAGGAACGCUGGGGCUUGGCAGCAGAAGGGAUGGGACCAGAGAGAAGGGUGUGGAGGAGACCCCAGUGAGGGCCAGGACAUUUCAGGUAAAGAGAGGUCAUAUCUCCGUACCUCACUUCCUGACACAAACAAGUUUUCACUGUUGUCAGCAACAAAGCCCUAAUAUAGCUGCGGAAGAGAAAAACUGCAUUGCAUUUUGCCUCCUGCAAGCAUCAUCAACAGUUACUGGAGGAACGUAAUUCCAGAAAGCUUGAAAGCCGUGGUGAUGGUAAUUAUGUAUCAAAUGCCUGGUUCUAUUUCUGUUAUUAUUGUUUUGUCAUUUCUGUUUUCCCAGCGAUCUGACUGAACUCGCAGAGGGACAAAUCCAGUUUUUCUUUUUGACUUUUGUCAAACUGAAUCAGGCCUGAUAGAAAACUCAUUGCUCUCCGGGGAAACAAAGUAGGAGCCACGAAAUGUCAUUUUAACAGAGCGUGGGUUUGGUGACUGUAGGAAAGGAUUUGAGGACGCUCCUUCUGUUCGGCUUCCUAUGUCAUGAGCACAGGCUCCACGCACGCACAGACACCACGGCUCCCGGAUGCUGUGGCUCCCCGAUCUGGGCUCCUGCAGCGCCAGAAGCCCCUCCGGGAUGCUUCGAGGGGCUCCCGGUGGGUGGAGGUACGGACGCCGCUGCGGCCGCCGCCGCCAGUCCUGCUGCUGUUGUUGCUGCUGCAGUCACGUGGGAGCCCCUUUAAGUUUCCAUAGAGAGGCCUCUCUGGUGUCACAUGAUGGACAUGAUAUAAUGAAACAACAUUGUGGAGAGGAAAGCAUUAGGGGAGCCCACGGCUACAAAAACAAGUGAGUGAGAAGAGGUGGGAGGAAGAGAAACUACGCCACCUCCCCUGCAGCCGAGUGCACGCAGCAGCCUGGCGUGACAAGUGGGCGACGCCGGGGGGCAGGGAGCCGGGGUCCUUGGCCCUGGCCGGGGACCCCACCGCCCACCGCGCGGAGGACAACUUUUAGCCGGCAGCCCCGACCAGCGCGGCACCUGUCUCCGGAGUCUCCACCGCUCCUCCCGAUUCAUCCCAGGGAAAUUCUCAAGAAUACGCUCUACAAAUCUACGUGCGCAUCAUUUUCACCUCGCGUCGCGCCCGGGAGGAAGGAACGAGGCAAGGAGCUAAAGCAGCGUGCGUUCAGCCCUGGGGCAUUUUAUUAAUGCUUUUACGAGUUAGAAGAGUUGGGAUAAUUUGCCAUCUGGAGUUUCUCUGCCUUGCUGAUCUGAGCUCAGACCUGCCAAUUUACCAGAGAUGAUUGAUAACACCCUGUAACAGCUGAGAGGAAAAUGGAAGAAACGGAGAUACUUUUAGUGAAACAGAAUAAACCACUGAACAGGAAAAAUGAGGAAGCUGUGAGUACCAGUGGAAGGAACGAGCCGGGAAGAGGGACUGGAACCAUCUCAGAAGCCAUGCCCCUCAGGUUGGAACUUGCCCUGUCUCCUCGCAGAUGAGGUGCAGGCCUUCUGAACAAAUGCCUCCUGAGGAUUUCUGUGCCUGGAAAAUAUCUGUUAACAGACUGCUUUUACACCUACUGUCACAGAAAUAGGAAACUCGAGAAGAUAAACUGCCGGGCUGUAUUGUGGAGUCAGUAUUUUAACACCGUCACGAUCUCAAGCAUGAUCUGUGGGACUCAUCACUGUGCUCUUUGACUUGAACUUCUUUAAGGUUAGUGGGAAAACGAGGCUUUAGAGAAGAUGGGACUGGCUUAAGGCCACACUGCAUGUCAGAAGUGUGGUGGAGGGUCUUCUGACCAUUCAGUGCAAGCCAAAUUGUGCUAAUUUCCAAUUUUUCUCCCUUUCUCUUGCUGAGCUAUUUGGUGCUACUUCUAGUCCUCAGGACCAAAGCUGGCUUUCAUGGUUUACUCAUGUACUUACUGAUGAAACCCUGAGACUUGGGGCCGGUGACUGUUCAGAGGUCCAUGUGAAGAUGCGCUGAAUGGUAUAAAGGACAGAGCAGUAAAGAGUGCUGGCUGAAUGCCUGGGCUGGCAAUCAGGCACGUUGGAGUUUGAGUCCCAGUCUGCCACUCCAGCUCUGUGACCAAGAGGAAGUGAAGUCAUGUACCCUUUCUAAGUCUCUAGCCCCUCUUCUGAAAGACGAAGAUGCCACCACCAACCAUGUUAGUGGUUGUGAAUGCCAAGAAAGUCCAUGUGAAGCACAUAGCAUGGUGUCUGCCAUGCAGUCAGUGUUCCAAAAAUGGAAGCUAUGACUGUUUCACAGAGUACACUUCCCAUCACUUUUCAGUUCAUUUUGGCCUUCUCCCUCAAAAGCACUCCAGUGUUCUGAUCCAGCUGAUAAAACACCAAACAUUCACAUAGUGCUUUAAAAGUGACCCACUGUUUUUACAGACUGCAUUACAUAUGACCCUAACAACCACUGCAAUAUAGAAGUUCGCAUCUCCAUUCUCCAGAUCAGGAUACCGAAGCUCAGAAAAAUUAAAUGAUUUGCCCAGGAUCACAUAGCUAGUAAGCAGCCCAGCCAGAUCCUGUGUUAACUUGUUCAUCCGCUUCCUAUAAGAAAACAUCCAUUCAAGGCACAUGGGGCAACAAAGAAGGACUUAGAGCUGUGUGGCCCCUCGUCAGGGCAGUACCAGUUGCACCCAUAGUCCGGCCUGAAUACUCAGCUUAGGACUAUUGUGUCCAAUGUCCCAAACAUUUUGAAGCUACAUCUUAAAGAAGUGUCCUGCUCAGAUGCAGUUCUCCUUGUGAAAUCCGCAGGCCCCAAGGGAAGUGACUUUAAUCCAGUUUGCUCAUGCAAGAACAGACUGGCAUUUCACAUCCAGGAAAACAAUGGAUUUGUACUGUUCAGCUUUUGCCAUGCGAGGAGUUCCUGGUGUGGUUUAUUAAUUUACAUCUCAGGCUCCAGCUUCACUAUCAAUCAGAUUUGGAAGAAAAAAGUUACAAAGAAAGGCAGCUUGCUGAGAAACAGCGGAAGCAUGACGGUACAGACUGGGUUUUGAAAUGGAGACACAUUCUCAUGGCUUGUGGGCUGAGAGACACUGAGAAAGGAUUUUGUUCUUGAAAGAUGAUUGUUUUAAUGCUGGAGAUGGAGAGUUUUGACAAUUUUAAGUGCAUGCUCUGUGUGUAAGAAAGAGUCAUUACGUUUUUUUUUUUCUUUCAGAUGUUGCCAUGCCUUAAAAUUGCUGAUGAUUAAAAUAGAACAUCCUGAGUUACAGAAA